rnacentral:tRNA from 1 species
GGCGCUAUAGUGUAGUGGUUAUCACUCAGGAUUCUGAUCAAUCUUCCUGAAACCCAGGUUCGAACCCUGGUAGCGCCU